GCUGGGCGCGGUGGCUCAUGCCUGUAAUCCCAUUACUUUGGGAGGCUGAGGUGGGUGGAUCACCUGAGGUCAGGAGUUCGAGACCAGCCUGACCAACAUGGAGAAACCCCAUCUCUA
rnacentral:SRP_RNA from 1 species